UUUCUGGUAUAAUCUUUCAGAUUUUCAGCGUUUAAAAACGGUGAAUAUUUCAACACAUUUACCAGAUAUAGCAUAAACAAACAUGACUGUAUGAAAUUUGCCCUGAUCUGAUGAUAUGUACGCAUCAUCGAUCUCAAAUUCUAGUCAAAGUGAAGGAAACAAAAUGAUCGACAAACAAAAUAUAAAUAUCGAAAAAUCUGGAUUUGAUGAAAUGCAACUCUACGACGUCGCGAUUGGAUUACCAUGUUGAACUUCAGUUCAAAUGAAAUCGAUAUUGAGACUGAUGGAUAAAAGCAGAGACAUGUUUUGCAGCCCAUUUCAAAUUCAUCAUUACGUCCAUCUCUCAGAUAUACAACUUCGAAAGACAAGCAGUUUUUUUCUGAAACACCCAAUGCAUACAUCUAACCAACAUGUCUACCCACCGUCUGGUGGUUAGAUGUACCCAUGAUAUUCGGAUGGUACUUGCGGGCAGCGGAGGCAGAGCUCUGUCUUUCAUAAGUGCAAGGCAUAGAGUGUCAACAAUGGAGCUUGUCAGGAGAAAGAAUUUUACACCACUAUGGAAUAAGGUAAAGUGGGGUAAUUGUUGCCCCUUUUCACCUAUAACUUCGGCACGCAAGAUAUUUCCCAGCAUAUUCACGAACACCGGCCUGGAUCUUGUAGUGACACCUCUUCUAAUAAUAUUACCUGUAAUUC